rnacentral:rRNA from 1 species
ACUCAAAUGAAUUGACGGGGGCUCACACAAGCGGUGGAGCAUGUGGCUCAAUUCGAAGCAACGCGAAGAACCUUAUCCUAGGUUUGACAUGCACGGAUUAACUCCCUGAAAGGGGAGCCAGGCCUUCGGGUACAACGUGCACAGGUGCUGCAUGGCUGUCGUCAGCUCGUGCUGUGAAGUGUCGGGUUAAGUCCCUUAACGAGCGAAACCCCUGUCGUUAGUUGCUAACAGGUUAUGCUGAGGACUCUAACGAGACUGCCGGCGUCAAGUCGGAGGAAGGUGGGGAUGACGUCAAGUCCUCAUGGCCUUUAUGCCUAGGGCUGCACACGUGCUACAAUGGCGCGCACAGAACGACGCAAGACCGCAAGGUGGAGCAAAUCGCUCAAAUCGCGCCCCAGUUCGGAUUGAGGGCUGCAACCCGCCCUCAUGAAGUCGGAAUCGCUAGUAAUCGCGGAUCAGCUACGCCGCGGUGAAUAUGUUCCUGAGCCUUGUACACACCGCCCGU